GAUGAACGCUGGCGGCGUGCCUAAUACAUGCAAGUCGAGCGAACGGACGAGAAGCUUGCUUCUCUGAUGUUAGCGGCGGACGGGUGAGUAACACGUGGAUAACCUACCUAUAAGACUGGGAUAACUUCGGGAAACCGGAGCUAAUACCGGAUAAUAUUUUGAACCGCAUGGUUCAAAAGUGAAAGACGGUCUUGCUGUCACUUAUCGAUGGAUCCGCGCUGCAUUAGCUAGUUGGUAAGGUAACGGCUUACCAAGGCAACGAUGCAUAGCCGACCUGAGAGGGUGAUCGGCCACACUGGAACUGAGACACGGUCCAGACUCCUACGGGAGGCAGCAGUAGGGAAUCUUCCGCAAUGGGCGAAAGCCUGACGGAGCAACGCCGCGUGAGUGAUGAAGGUCUUCGGAUCGUAAAACUCUGUUAUUAGGGAAGAACAUAUGUGUAAGUAACUGUGCACAGCUUGACGGUACCUAAUCAGAAAGCCACGGCUAACUACGUG
rnacentral:rRNA from 1 species